GCCCGCUCAGUCAGAGUUUGAUCCUGGCUCAGGACGAACGCUGGCGGCGUGCUUAACACAUGCAAGUCGAACGGAAAGGCCCAGCUUGCUGGGUACUCGAGUGGCGAACGGGUGAGUAACACGUGGGUGAUCUGCCCUGCACUCUGGGAUAAGCCUGGGAAACUGGGUCUAAUACCGGAUAGGACCAUGGGAUGCAUGUCUUGUGGUGGAAAGCUUUUGCGGUGUGGGAUGGGCUCGCGGCCUAUCAGCUUGUUGGUGGGUAAUGCCUACCAAGGCGACGACGGGUAGCCGACCUGAGAGGGUGAUCGGCCACACUGGGACUGAGACACGACCCAG
rnacentral:rRNA from 1 species